GACGAACGCUGGCGGCGUGCCUAAUACAUGCAAGUAGAACGCUGAAGGAGGAGCUUGCUUCUCUGGAUGAGUUGCGAACGGGUGAGUAACGCGUAGGUAACCUGCCUGGUAGCGGGGGAUAACUAUUGGAAACGAUAGCUAAUACCGCAUAAGAGUAGAUAUCGCAUGACAUUUGCUUAAAAGGUGCAAUUGCAUCACUACCAGAUGGACCUGCGUUGUAUUAGCUAGUUGGUGAGGUAACGGCUCACCAAGGCAACGAUACAUAGCCGACCUGAGAGGGGGAUCGGCCACCCUGGGACUGAGACACGGCCCAGACUCCUACGGGAGGCAGCAGUAGGGAAUCUUCGGCAAUGGACGGAAGUCUGACCGAGCAACGCCGCGUGAGUGAAGAAGGUUUUCGGAUCGUAAAGCUCUGUUGUAAGAGAAGAACGAGUGUGAGAGUGGAAAGUUCACACUGUGACGGUAUCUUACCAGAAAGGGACGGCUAACUACGUG
rnacentral:rRNA from 1 species